UACGAAGGGGGCUAGCGUUGCUCGGAAUCACUGGGCGUAAAGGGUGCGUAGGCGGGUUUUAAGUCAGGGGUGAAAUCCUGGAGCUCAACUCCAGAACUGCCUUUGAUACUGAGUCUUGAGUCCGGGAGAGGUGAGUGGAACUGCGAGUGUAGAGGUGAAAUUCGUAGAUAUUCGCAAGAACACCAGUGGCGAAGGCGGCUCACUGGCCCGGUACUGACGCUGAGGUGCGAAAGCGUGGGGAGCAAACAGG
rnacentral:rRNA from 1 species